UGGUUGUGAAAGGAUCCAGGGAAAUUGUUUUUCAUGAUUGGUUGAAAGGUCAAUUGACAUCUCGUCCCAUUUUGCUUUGUUGGAAAGCACACAUAGUAAAGGUGAAGUGCCUGUUUACUUGUUAGUAAACUUAAUUGAUGUAGUGUAAUUGAAGAUUUAACUUAGAACUGGAUUCCUGCGAGAACUCUUUUCAUGUUUCUAGUCUUGUUGAGUCCGGAUCAAGACAGGAUCUCCAGCAAGUUUUUUUAAAGAGUUAAUCUCCAACGAGUAUUGAAGAGACGCAGCUCAAAAUCUUGCCAAGUCGAGUUGAAUGAUAGGGUAAUUAGGUUCUCAUUGUCCUUUUCUAAAGUGUAAAUCUUACUAAUUGUAUUCAAUAUGUGCAGAGAAAAGCAGUUGUAUAGCACGUACUUGGGAACGAACCUGCUGAUGUUUACAGAGAAAAGCAGUUACAACACAUCGUGGUCCAAGAUGAAGUCCUAGCCAAUAGGUUGGGCCUUAUUCCCAUCAAAGCUGACCCAAGGCUGUUCGAAUAUGUUUCAGGUACUUCUUCAAGGUCUUUCUUCAAGGGAUUUGAUUUGUGGAAGGAAGAAACUGUAAUGAAGGUAAAAAAUCAAAGAUAAUAUGGUUUGCUAAAUCUGUUUCAGGCAUAUGAAUUACUAAAGAAUAAGCGGAGAAUUGUGAAAUCUGAACGUUUGAACUUUUUAACUGUCAAAAUGCAAAAGGUUGUCCCUCCUGAAAGACUUUUCAAUGAUUUAGAUUAUAGUAAAUGAUUUCCUUGGUCAAGGAAGGUUUCUGGAUUAUCUUUUGUUGUUUGACAGGAGCAUGAAUGUUGACCAUGAACAAAGCCUUUUAACUAAGCUGAAGCAACAAUGGGGCGGCCAACUUAUGUUGUAGAUGGAAGGAAUGGUCUGUCAUAUACUAACUACUUGCCUGAGCUAGUUGCAUGCAUGCGUGUGUUUUCUUCUUCUUUCUAAAAGGGAUUUCUUGGUGGUGUUCUUUCAUGUUUUUCUGGCAAUGCAGGUUACUAAUUUUCCAUUAGCAAGGGAGAAUCAACAGAAUGUUUUGAAGCUCCAUGCCCAUUUCCAUCUUUAUAUUGCUAACAGAAUGUCCUUUACCUUCACUAUGGUUUUAUUUAGGAUGAUGGUUUUCAUAUCUUUUCUUUUCUUUUUCAAACUAUUCAACAGUCUAUGUUUGUAGCUUGCUCAGCUCCAAGAUACAUACAUGUUGCAUCAUAUUCUAAUUAGACCAAGCUAUUCAGGAUGAUGGUAUUUUAAUUAGA